AUCUAAACCAGAGCCAACUGAGAUUACUUUAAAGACAGAUGAUGCUUUUGAUCUAGGUGAUGCUUAUAAGCUGGCCGUUGGAAACGAUUGCGGGGAAGUUUCCAGGUCAAAAAGUGAUGAGAUCCCAAAGAGUGAAACAGAAUUGGAUUCUAAACCAGAGCCAAAUGAGAGUAGUUCACAGGCAGAUGAUGCUUUUGAUCUAGGUGAUGCUUAUAAGCUGGCCGUUGGAAACGAUUGCGGGGAAGUUUCCAGGUCAAAAAGUGAUGAGAUCCCAAAGAGUGAAACAGAAUUGGA
rnacentral:misc_RNA from 1 species